UACGCAGGGUGCGAGCGUUAAUCGGAAUUACUGGGCGUAAAGCGUGCGCAGGCGGCGCGUUAAGACAGGUGUGAAAGCCCCGAGCUUAACUUGGGAAUUGCGCUUGUGACUGGCGUGCUGGAGUGUGGCAGAGGGAGGUGGAAUUCCACGUGUAGCAGUGAAAUGCGUAGAGAUGUGGAGGAACACCGAUGGCGAAGGCAGCCUCCUGGGCCAGCACUGACGCUCAUGCACGAAAGCGUGGGGAGCAAACAGG
rnacentral:rRNA from 1 species